CAAACUUCUAUUUUCUUAAUAAAGGUAGGUACCAUAACAGUUUACUUCUCUUUACGAUUUUCGGGGUUUCGGGAUUGGCU
rnacentral:misc_RNA from 1 species